rnacentral:rRNA from 1 species
UACAGAGGGUGCGAGCGUUGUUCGGAAUUACUGGGCGUAAAGCGCGCGCAGGCGGUCUUCCAAGUCAGUGGUGAAAGCCCGGAGCUCAACUCCGGAACUGCCAUUGAAACUGUUAGACUUGAGGAUGAGAGAGGUGAGUGGAAUUCCCAGUGUAGAGGUGAAAUUCGUAGAUAUUGGGAAGAACACCGGUGGCGAAGGCGGCUCACUGGCUCAUUUCUGACGCUCAGGCGCGACAGCGUGGGGAUCAAACAGG